AGGUGCAAGCGUUGCUCGGAAUUACUGGGCGUAAAGGGCGCGUAGGCGGCCGAUCAAGUCAGGCGUGAAAUUCCCGGGCUCAACCUGGGGGCUGCGCUUGAUACUGAUUGGCUUGAAUGCGGGAGAGGAUAGUGGAAUUCCCAGUGUAGAGGUGAAAUUCGUAGAUAUUGGGAAGAACACCGGUGGCGAAGGCGGCUAUCUGGCCCGUAAUUGACGCUGAGGCGCGAAAGCGUGGGGAGCAAACAGG
rnacentral:rRNA from 1 species